GACGAACGCUGGCGGCGUGCUUAACACAUGCAAGUCGAACGGAAAGGCCCCUUUGGGGGUACUCGAGUGGCGAACGGGUGAGUAACACGUGAGUAACCUGCCCUUGACUUCGGGAUAACUUCAGGAAACUGGGGCUAAUACCGGAUAGGAAUCCUUGCUGCAUGGUGGGGGUUGGAAAGCUUCGGCGGUUUUGGAUGGACUCGCGGCUUAUCAGCUUGUUGGUGGGGUAGUGGCUUACCAAGGCUGUGGCGGGUAGCCGGCCUGAGGGGGCGACCGGCCACACUGGGACUGAGGGACGGCCCAGACUCCUACGGGAGGCAGAAGGGGGGAAUAUUGCACAAUGGGCGGAAGCUUGAUGCAGAAACGCCGCGGGCGGGAUGACGGCCUUCGGGUUGUAAAACGCUUUCAGAAGGGGCGAAGCUUGUGGUGACGGUACCUGCAGAAGAAGCACCGGCUAACUACGUG
rnacentral:rRNA from 1 species